GAACAAAUUGAAAGCAUAUUGGCUUUUUCACAGAAUCAAAUGGAUGGCUCAACCAUCAAGCCUCACAAAAGGACAGAAACUAGAGGAGCUCUGAAAUUUAGGUAGCAGAAACUAGUGGAGAGUCUCUUCAAGGACCUGCCAGAAGAGUGACUCAGGAAAGAAAAAAUGAUCCUUGGAACUUGACUUUGUAUGCCCACCCACUGACAGGGGAGGUCAACUCCAUCUAUAUCCAAAACCUUUCUCAUCUGGCCUGACCUCCCUCAUGAGAGUUGCUGUUCUACUAGCUGACUGAAAUUUGAUGUAUCCUCUCACCUCAACUUCCACAAGUCAAAACACGUCUGUGCUUUCUGGUCACCCACCUACCAAAGCAAUCCUCCAUUUGCUAAUGUGUGCCAAUGGUCGCUUGACUUCAACUUUGAAAGAAUCCUUCAAUGACAGCUGAAGCGAGACAUUUAGCAGCCACUGUCCUUUCUGUAUUCUGUGCCAGGCACAAGGACUCCAUUCCUCUUGAAAGUUUUAUCAUGUACAAGGCUAUUAACAUUAUGAGGAUAGGCUGAAGCAUGAAUAAAUCCUGAGACUUACUGAUGAUGUCAUUAUACUGGUCAAUAAAAUACAUAGAGGGAAGGGCUUCCCAUGCUACCAGGUUCAGUUAACUAAAUCAGGAUACACGAGCAAUUAAG
rnacentral:lncRNA from 1 species